rnacentral:pre_miRNA from 1 species
AGUGGAAUUGCUAGGUCAUAUGCUAACUUGUAUUUAACUUUCUGAGUAACUGGCAAACUAUUUUCCAAAGUGACAGCUCCAUUUACAUUCCCACUAGCAAU